rnacentral:siRNA from 1 species
AGCAGCAAUGCAUUGGUCUUAA